rnacentral:lncRNA from 1 species
CUAUGAUCAUCUCAAUAGGUGAAGAAAAUUUCAACACUGGACCCUAAUUAAAAAAAAAAAAAUCAGACUCUGGAACUGUGAGAGAAUGAACUUGUUAUGGAAGCCCUAGGAAACAAAUGCACCUUGCCUUACCAGUUGAUGCUUUUAUUACUUUUACAGUGUUCAUCUUACACCAUAUUUGUUUGUUUUUCUAAUGACUACUCUGCUAGGAACAUACUGGAAUAAUUUCCAUUGACCAUCGCACUAGCGAACACUCAGAAUGGCACCACAAUCAAAUCCCGCUGCUCUGCUUGUCUGUCUGCUUUGAUAUGUUUGCCUUAUCUUUCUCAAAAGUAAUGUACACUUCCCAGAAUUCAUUUGGAAAUUUAGAUGACUUCUUUUUCUCAUUCUAGGUGUGCUGCUACCAUGGCUCGGCUGGCUAGAGAAAGUAGAAGGCCUUCCAAAGCCAAUUGUCCAACUAAAAGACUUCAUCUCUGCCCAACUCCAAUUCAAAAUUUUGCUGACUCACAGACUGAAAUGACUAUUGUCGUGAAGACUGAUAGAACAAAGGAGAGACGGAGGAGUAUAACUUUACCGGAUGAUGAUAAGGUGAACGAGUCGUAGGAGGAAGAAGUGGAAGACCUGGUCGCCUGGACCAACACUCUUGAUACAGACGUUUUAGAAGAGUCAGCCUGACGCUCCAGGUUUUAAAAAUGAACAGCCUCAACCACGGCCUGGUUUCAUGAAGCAACUUUGGAACUUGGAUUCCGUUUUUUGCAAGUUGGUCUCAUGCUCUUACAUCAAGUACAAAUUAGAAAUGUAAGUACAAAUCAGUGACUAUGUUUCUUUGAAGUUUUUGAGCCUCUACUUCAUUGUUUGAAGGUAAGUGAACGGAAUUAGGGCUAUUCAUACGGCACUUCUGUCAUUGGUAUUACCGCCACAGUCGUUAGGCUACGGGUGCAAGUUUUUACAGACAGGGAUGGACAUGAGUCAGGGAGACGCUGGGAUUGGAGGGAAGCUCUCAGGAGCAUCAGAGGCUGGACGUUAACCAGAGAGAGGGACCUUUACGGAUGUCUACAUCUGCCUGGUUUAGUGUCAUGUUUCCUCCAUAUUCAAGGGAAGAGAUGUCAUCCAUCCACCAACGUUCCUCUUCUGUUUUCCCCCAGAAAACAUGUUCUGUUUCCUCUUUGACCUUAUCCUCUCAUAAUCUCAUAUCUUUAUUUUCUUCCUCUCUUUUUGCUGCACUGCCUCAACCUGCAAAUCUACUUGGGUCUCUCCUAUUUUAAAAUAUAUCUCCACCUUUGACCCUGUAUUUCUACUUCCCUCAGCACUAUAUUUUUCAGGGGCACCUGGCUGGCUCGGUUGGUGGAGCAUGGGACUCUUGAUCUCAGGGUUGUAAGUUUGAGCCUCAUGCUGGGUGUAGAGAUUAAAAAUAAAAUCUUUAAAAAACAAAACCAAACACUAUAUUAUUAAUAUUUUCUCAGUUAUGUUUAUUGAUAAAAUCUAUCUUUAUUUCUUAGGUGCACUUCCCAUUUGCAUUCCACUGAACACUAAAAUCUGUCUUCUGCUUAUAUUACUUGAUUAAAAUUCACUAGGAUUGGGGCACCUGGGUGGCUCAGAUGGUUAAGCAUCUGCCUUCGGCUUAGGUCAUGAUCCCAGGGUCCUGGGAUGGAGCCCUACAUUGGGCUCCCAGCUCAGCAUGGAGCCUGCUUCUCCCUCUCCCUCUACUAUUCCCCCUGCUUGUGCUCUCUCGCUCUCUCUGUCAAAUAAAUAAAUAAAAUCUUAAAAAAAAUAAUAAAAUGCACUAGGAUCACCAAAGACUUCCAUAUUGCCAAAAUUCAAUUGCUACCUUAUCUUAUUGGACCUCUAGGCUAUAUUCAAUAUUAUUGAUCACUUCUAUUUCUCUUUUUUAAUAUUUUUGUCUUAUCCUUGAAGAGGCUUGUUUUGAGGCCCACCUACCUAUGCAUGUAUCUCUUCCCACAAACAUAAAUAUGUAUAAACAUAAAUCUGUAUAUCUAUGUAGAGACAUAGAUAGAUAGAUGCCUGACCUUGGAUCUAGUUGUUAAAUAGGCCUCUCCGUCAUUUCUAAACUUCCUAUGGAAAAAAAAAAAGUUGUUAUAUGUAUUCUAGUGUCUGGGCACUUCCCUGGCUAGCUAGAUGUUUUCAAGUCUGCCUGUGGUAGUUCAGACAAUAGGGCCCCAAGUGAUUGUAGUGCUUAACACUUUUAUUAUCCUCCCCAAAAGAACCACAAAAUUCUAGCAGCUAUCCCAUAUUUUCCCCUCCUUUUGUCAAUGCCAAAGUACAGCAAAGAGCCAACUUCAUGAUCCCCUCCCAACUCGAUAACAAUCAGAGUUAUUUUUAUACCGAAUAAAAAGUGCCACUGUGAAUGACCCAUCCCAUACCUCAGUGAAAUUAUACAAUGGAGUCGAAAGAUGCAUUUUGCUGAUGGUCACACUGACGGAGGCUGGGCCUCUGACUCUUUCCUCGUGGUUUUCUAGGACAAGCGUGUAGAUUGCCAACAGAUAUACAGCAGUCACCAAGAAAUUAAACCCAAAAGGACCAUGAAAGUCAACCAAAAAUAUUUCCUUGAUAUCAGCUGUAUAUACAAAAUAUAUUGUAUUUUAUUCUUUCCGUUUAAUCUCUUUAUUUUAGGACAGAGAAGUUACAUUUGUUGCUUUGUUUUCCUGCAACCAGAAGACCUGGGGGUAAAAGUGGGUGAUGGGGAAAGGAGGAGUAGGGAACACAUCUUUGGAACAGAGACAUUAAGCAGUAGUACAGGACAGUUUAUUUAAUUACCUUUAGUCUAACUCUGGCUAUUCAUUCUGGGUCUUCAAUAGUAAUUUCCCUUCCACCUCUGGCCCUUGGUGAAAGGUUCUUUUGGGUUCCAGCCCAAUGCUCUUCUCUACACAUAUUUUCUUGGAAAAUGUUGUCACUGUCAGAGUUUUACCUCCCACACAUAUUGUCAUUCUCUGACCUUUUUCUACCUGCCUUAAUAGGCAUCUUCACUUCAACGUCCCCCAUGUAUCUGAAACUCAACAUGCCUGGUUUAAACUCAUUUCUCUUCCUCCACCUUCUGCCUCUUGUGUUUCCUUUUUCAGUUAAUGGAACAAUCACAAGAUAAAAACUUGGGGAUCACUAUAGACUUCUCUCUUUCAUUUAUGGCCAAUUGAUCACCAAGACUUUCAAUAUUAUCUUUUAGAUGUCUCAAAUCCAUCUACCCAUUCCUGUUCUUACCAUUACUUUAUAUUAUGAAGCCCUUUUAAUCAAUUGGUGGGAUUAUACUUUUCUUUAAUGACAUCAUCCACUUUCCAAAAAUUCUUCAGAGAAUCUCUGCUUAUUAGAGAAUGUCCAAAUCAUAAUGCCCUUCAUGUCAGCCCUCACCCACCCUGUUUAAUCUAAGUUUAAUCUAGAUGAUAUGAACAUU